GACGAACGCUGGCGGCGUGCUUAACACAUGCAAGUCGAACGGAAAGGCCCUGCUUUUGUGGGGUGCUCGAGUGGCGAACGGGUGAGUAACACGUGAGUAACCUGCCUUUGACUUUGGGAUAACUUCAGGAAACUGGGGCUAAUACUGUAUAGGAGCUCCUGUUGCAUGGUGGGGGUUGGAAAGUUUCGGCGGUUGGGGAUGGACUCGCGGCUUAUCAGCUUUUUGGUGGGGUAGUGGCUUACCAAGGCUUUGACGGGUAGCCGGCCUGAGCUGGUGACCGGCAAAAUUGGGACUGAGAUGCGGCCCAGACUACUACGGGAGGCAGCGUUGGGGAAUAGUGCACAAGGGGCGGAAGCCUGAUGCAGCAACGCCGCGUGCGGGAUGAAGGCCUUCGGGUUGUAAACCGCUUUCGCCUGUGACGAAGCGUGAGUGACGGUAAUGGGGAAAGAAGCACCGGCUAACUAAGU
rnacentral:rRNA from 1 species